UUAUUUAUUUAUUUAUUUAGAGACGGAGUCUUGCUCUGUUGCCCAGGGUAGAGUACAGUGGCACGAUCUCGGCUUACUGCAACCUCCACCUCCCCGUUCAAGCAAUUCUCCUGCCGCAGCCUCCAGAGUAGCUGGGAUUACAGGUGCCUGCCACCACACCCGGCUAAUUUAUUUGUAUUUUUAGUAGAGAUGGGGUUUCACCAUGUUGUCCAGGCUGGUUUCACAGGAGGCUGAGGCAGGAGAAUGGCGUGAACCCAGGAGGCGGAGCUUGCAGUGAGCCGAGAUCACACCACUGCACUCCAGCUUGGGCGACUGAGCAAGACUGUCUCCAAAAAAAAAAAAAAAAAAAAAAAUGAAACUCAGUAUCACUUUCUGUUGAGUUUAUAACAGUGCUUCUUCCCAAUUCUACCUUCGACGUGGGUAAGUAGAUUCCUACUCAGGGCCCCAGACCUUAAACAGACCUGCUCUAGGCUUGUUUAAGCCAAGUCUCUUCCCAUGGAGGAGGGAGUCAACAGGGCGAAGAGAAUAUGUCCACUGGAGCCUGUUCCCUCUCUCCUAGACCAUUCUGGGUGCUCGCAGGACAUCAAAAUUUCUUGCACAGAAGGGUCAAGUCUACCUACAGGGCAUACACAGCUUUUUCGCAGGGUCACUUCUCCAGACUGGGCCAUGACACUGGGGUGGCCCACGUGGGGUCAUGGAGUGUCAAUGUAGAUGGAGCUUAGAUGUGUGGCCUAUGCUAUUUUUGGCAACGUAAAUGGAGCUUAGAUAUGUGGGCUGUACUAUUGCCCCAGAUCCUGCAAAUGCAACACAAGGGCCUGCUCUCUCCUUCUUGAGCCACCAGCUCUCUUACAAGAUGUCAUUGAGAUCGCUAGCAACUCCAAAGCCUCUGUGUACCUUCUCCACUUUCCUCAAUCUCUACAGAAGGUGGUGAUAAGCACUCACCCCAAGUGGAGAACCAGAAGGGAAAAUAAGAGGUUCCGAGAGCCCAGAGAAUUCCCCCUCAGAGCAAGCAGGGGCUAGACAGCUUUGUACCUCUCCACUGAGCAAAGAGCACUACCCCGUGAUCAGUGAAACACUCUCCAGGAAAACACCAGCAUUCCUGGUAGAUUUGUUUUCCUUUGCUUGUCUCUAAUCGACACACAAGACCUUCUCUGGGCUAUGGAUUCCACAGUCAGAUAUUUAGAGAGAUGUCGCCACUGCCUUCUCCUCAGUGAAGCAGUCUGGCUGAUGCUCCCCCAGGGGAAAUGAAUCACUCUCUUGAUUUUGAACUUGCACAGCCUGUUACUCACACCUUGGCUAGUGACUGACCUGUUCCAUCACACCUUCUGUAGAGGCGAAUCCUAUGAGCUCCCGUAAGGCAGCAGCACCUGACUCACCUGGCUUCCCCACUGGGCCUAGCACAGGGCUCACACACGGUGCAGCUGCUCAGGUGUUCCUCCCUAAAUCAAUUAACUUUAAAAUUCCACCUGGUUGGGAUCAAAGUCAUUGAGAUUUAUGAGAAAAACCAGUCCAACCAGUCCCCACUUCAUGAUUUUCCCCUGUGGCUCUUAGAUCCUGAAUCUGGUUUAUUUUGUCAACUUAAUAUCCUGCUAUCAACACUCACUUUAUACUUGGCCCAUGCAUGGGUAGGGGCGGAGCUUCUUUACAUUCUAAAGACUGGGAGCAUCAAAAAGAGGAAGUUUUAGAGAUUGUAUUAGUUCCCUAGGGCUGCUGUAACAAAAUGCCACAGACAAGGUGGCUUAAAACAACAGAAAUAUGGCCGGGCAUGGUGGCUCAUGCCUGUAAUCCUAGCAGUUUGGGAGGCUGAGGUGGGAGGAUCACCUGAGGUCAGGAGUUCGAGACCAGCCUGACCAACAUGGAGAAACCCCAUCUCUACUGAAAAUACGAAAAAAUUAGCCGGGCAUGGUGGCGGGCGCCUGUAAUCCCAGCUACUUGGGAGGCUGAGGCAGGAGAAUCGCUUGAACCUGGGAGGUGGAGAUUGCGGUGAGCCAAAAUCAUGC
rnacentral:lncRNA from 1 species